rnacentral:rRNA from 1 species
UACGUAGGGGGCAAGCGUUGUCCGGAAUCAUUGGGCGUAAAGCGCGUGUAGGCGGCCCGGUAAGUCCGCUGUGAAAGUCCAGGGCUCAACCCUGGGAUGCCGGUGGAUACUGUCGGGCUCGAGUCCGGAAGAGGAGUGUGGAAUUCCAGGUGUAGCGGUGAAAUGCGUAGAUAUCUGGAGGAACACCGGUGGCGAAGGCGGCAUUCUGGACCGGCAUUGACGCUGAGGCGCGAAAGCCAGGGGAGCAAACGGG